rnacentral:rRNA from 1 species
UAAUACGUAGGGACCGAGCGUUAUCCGGAUUCAUUGGGCGUAAAGAGCUCGUAGGCGGCUAUUCAAGUCGAACGUGAAAUCUCGGGGCUCAACCCCGAGCCUGCGUUCGAUACUGAAUAGCUAGAGUCUGGUAGGGGGAUCUGGAAUUCCUGGUGUAGCGGUGGAAUGCGCAGAUAUCAGGAGGAACACCGGUGGCGAAGGCGGGAUCCUGGGCCAGUACUGACGCUGAGGAGCGAAAGCGUGGGGAGCAAACAGGAUUAGAUACCCUGGUAGUCCACGCCGUAAACGAUGGGCGCUAGGUGUGGGAGGUCAUCGACUCCUUCCGUGCCGCAGCUAACGCAUUAAGCGCCCCGCCUGGGGAGUACGGCCGCAAGGCUA